AAUCUGCACGUCUUGAGGGAUACCAUCCCGCUGCUAGAAGUCAGCUUGCUUUAUUUAUUUAUUUUUUAUUUUCUUGCUACGUUUUCAAGCUUCGGUGUAAAGCAGCUAGAAUGUAGAAACCGUAAGCUCAUAAAUCAGGGGGCUGCUGAAAAGAUGCUGAAGUUUAAACUACCACGGAGGCUUUCAGACCUGUAAUACGUCAGGAAAAGAGGGAAUUUUAAAUAAGUGUUAUGGUUGGCAUGAGAGGGGGAGAAGAUAGAAUGAGGAUUAAAUCCAAAAGUUUUAAAAUAGAGCAAUACAGGCUUAAAAAUCAAUUGAUACGACAGUAAAAAUUCUCUUCCUUGGCGGCUGCUUUCUCUUCACUUUCUAGUGACCAAGUAAAAAAAAAAACAAAUGCAUGUUCAGAAUGGCACAGUAAAUAUGGCAACAUCUUAAUUUAUUGUUGGAUUAGAAAACUUUCCUGAAGGUUGCUGAUUAUGAAGAAACCUUACAAGCUGAUGUAAGUGGCUGAAUGCAGACAUGUCUGGACACUGCGAGCCUUGAUGGUGGCCAUAUGGGGAAAGAGGCAACUUUCCUCCUUAUUCUGCUCGUAGAAAAUUCUGCCUGGGAAAAGCCGCGGGUGGGAGCGAGUAGCUGCAGGGCUGCAAACUUUUGGUGCCUUGGAACAUAAAAAUGAAAGACCAAGAUUUCUGCAGAUCCUACAGGUGAUGGAGUGCUUACCCCUUCAGAAAUCACCUUCAUUUCGAAUCCAGGGAUUGAACUUAAUAUUUUAACCGUCUGUGAUUCCCCUCAUUGGUCUGCACCUGAACAUACUUUACUGUUUGAAAGGAUCUGCUGAAGGACUCCUGAACCAUGAUAGCCAAGGACUGCUCCAAGGUCUCCUCCAGCUGGCCGCAUGGUCGGUAUUAACGCAGACUGCUCCAGGCCCACUUCUCCCUCCAAAUUACUCAAUUUUGCUUUUACUGUGUUCUUUGCUGGUUCAGCUGCUAUAUUGAUACAAGUCGCAAGCACAGCGCAAGGUCUUCAGCAGCAAACUGUGGAGUAGCUUCCAGCCAUUGCCCCGAUAUGGAGAAUCCGGGCUUUCCCCCCAUUUAGGAGUUACUGCAGUACCACAUGGCAGAGGAAGGUGGCACAGGAGGAAGAGGAAUCAGAGACACGUUAAUGAACAAAGCUGCUGGAGUUCAGCUUGGGCACUGCUCGUCCUCUGCUGCCAUUCAGCCCAGGUAGGUUGAACCUUGGCUAGCGAUCACAUUCAAGCAGCCUCUGGGAUGGACACGGUGGUGUUAGCUGGCUCUCCAGAUGUCCCACCUGUGUUGGAAAAAGUUGGUCGUUGAUUCUGGGCUGAAGAAAAGUCACCAGUUUUGGAGCAGCCAAUGUGGCCUUUAUGGUUCUGUACCUUCAGGAGCUCCUUUUCUCAUCCCCCUCUACUCGUGGAUCGGUGGAGCUGAAUGCUGGAGCUGAAAUUAGAGCAUCCCCAUGGUAGUUCAGUGACGUCCCUCUGAGCAGCUGUCUCCUUCCAUCGCUGUUUUAUCGGGUGCCCUCUGGAUUUAGAGCGGUUCUUCGCAAACUCCUGCGUCCGCACGUCGGUUGGCUUAUGGCUGUGCAGUUUGGGCAAGGAUUGGAUGACUGUUUUCCAGUGGGGAAGGCUCAGCUGCAAGCAUCGAAUCACGUGGAAAAAGACACGUGCCAACCAGCCCAAAAGUCAUCCCGAGCCUCAUCGUGCCAGCGUUGUUUAUUCCCAUGUACUUUGGGGCUAUUGAACCUGCUGCCUCUGGAGCACUGGGUUGCUGUGCAGAUGGGGCAGCCUGGCUGUUGUCACGUCUUGGUCUGUGACAUUAAAUUCCGUCACUGUUUUUCUGAAGCAGCUGUGGUGGCAGAGGCCAGGUGACUCAUCCCGUCUGUAACCGAUGGCUCAGGAGGACACAGAUGCCAUCAGUGUUACUGGGAGCUGCAGAUGGAUGAUCCACGACCCUCCUGUGGUGCUGCUGCAUGUGCGUGUGGCCGACUCGAGGAGAGCGAAGGUGUCUUUGCAGGCAGGGGAUGAGCAGGGGCGGCGGCAGGGGAUGUGUAAGAAGAGGAAAAUGAGAUUUUGGGGAAGAACCAACAUCUAAUGCAAGAUGUCCCUGUGACUCCUGAAGCAACUCCCAAGAAAGCCCUGUGCUCUUGCUAUGUCUGGAUGAUGGCUCUUCCCUUCUCUGCAAUCUGCAGAUCUUCCCUUCCGGCCCAGCUGGACCCAAGCUUUCAGAGAACGCCAGCAUCUCUGGCUGAGAUGUCUCCAACCCAUGAGGUUCACAGGAGGGUCAAAUCUUGAUUAGAUAUCAAAUCCUUCAAAGGAAACUUUCCCAUUGAUUUAAUGCAUUGGGUUUUUUUACCUCCAGUCAGGAGUUUUAUCUCAUUAGUUCUGUGAAUCAAACCGUGCAUC